AUCGUGAAGUUGUCCGAUACCAUUUUAACUUGGCUCAACAGCUGGGUGACCAGGAAACACCCAGCAGCAGAUAAGAACGAACGAGAACAGCCCUGUUGACAAUGUGAGCACCCCACAGCAGGGACAGCCAUUUUCAGACGGCAUCUCCAGGGUUGGAGGGUGCAUCAGAAAGCUGGUUCCCAGGCAUGGAUUUAUGUAGCCCCAUGGGAGCAGCUGGGGAGUGUGUGAGCGUAACAUGAAAAUCGUUAAUUCUGAGUUUCUCUAGCAUCUCUGAGGAGAAUCAUCUCUUUCCUCAUAUCUAUCCUCACACCACCCCCUCCCCAUCCGGAACCUCAAGGAUCAUUUCUGGUUCUUGCAUUUGGGUCGAAGAAAGUCGCAACCUGAAUGCCCAGCGUCCUCUGAGCCAGGGUGUGUUUCCCGAGUUGGCCAAGUCCCCUGCAACAGCAGGCUCUGGGGCUGUCGCGCCAUGUUCCCGCACUCUCAGGCAUAAUAGAAUGAUCUGACGUCUGGGGGCUCUAGAAACCCGAAGACCUGGGUUCGAAUCAUGAGUCUACGACUUCCUCUCUAUGAGCUUCCGGGUGGAGACCAUCUUCAUCAGCUCCUCCCCCCAUGCGUGGACAGACACACUCCACGGAGAAUUAUCCACGGAAAGGAAUUAAAGAAAGGUGCUUGGCCUGUACAUCUGUGUGUUGCAUGUAUGCAGUGACUGUAGAGGCCAGAAGAAGCCGUCAGAACCCUUGAAACCCGAGUUAAUGAAAGUGUCGAGCUCCAGGUGGGUGCCGGGAACUGAAUUCAGGGUAAUCCUAAAGUCCCUCCAUACCAUCAAGCAAAAUAUCCUAAAACUUCGUCUUAAAAACAAAAAACCGGGAAAUGCCACACCCACUCCAGUAGAGUCUGUGUGAUAUGAAGCCCUUGUGCGUCGUUUCUAUCCAGAACAGAGGCUUGUGCCUGGAAUGGCUCGGCCUCCCGGAGGUCCUGGCCGUCUCCCUACAAAUAGAUGGUGACUAGGGCCUAUGCUUGCAGUGGAGGGGCCUUCUGUGUUCUAGCCUUGGUGAUCUUAGCAACUUUAAGCCUGUCAACAAUGUCUGAUUUUAAGAAUAUAGCAGUGUGGGAAGAUGGUCAUGUACCUUUAAAUGUCUCAGGAACUGAAAGUUCAGAGACGAAAAUGUCUCACACCACCAUGAUCCCGAUGAACUCAAUGGCUACAAUGAAUUCAACUGCUGCACUCAUUAUUUCCCAGCAAAUAGAAGAGAAAUUAAUUGUAACUAUUAAGAACAUGACUGUUCCAGAAAAGCCUCCCCCCACCCCUUUUGGGAAAGUUUUGUUUAGCAUGAUUCAAAACAGUAACAAUUCUUUUAGAAAGAUCAUAAACAAGUUCCAACAAGUUAAAUAAACUUAUCGAGAGUUAACUAUGGUUAUAAAAGUUUCCAUAUUAUUCUGAGGGGCCAUAAAUAUAAAGUUUAAACUUUAUUAAAACAAAGGUAAAUGUUGAAUGCAUAUCUGGUGCCCACAAGUCUGGCAGUAUAACUGCAGUUUUCUAAACUAUUGUUUGCGGUUAAGAAUUGUUUCCUAGACUGUACGUUCUGCUUUCCUCCUUGCAAGGGACAUUUGGUGGGGUGAUAAAUAAAAGCUGAAUAACUGCCAAUUAUAAUGUACCUGUUCUAACUGCUUAAAUCUAUGCCAAGAAGUAAAGCUUUUUGCAGCAGCACACACCUCAAGUUUGUGUCUGUCUGUCAU